CCAUGUAGUGCCACCCAUCGCUUGCCCGUGCCUCCGAUGGCACGGCCGCCUCCUAUGUCGCUAUCGUGGCCCUUGCCAUCAUCCUUCCUGCUGCCACCACCCAUCCCAUGGUCUUCUUCCUCACAAUGGGUAACAGAAAGAGGAGGGGCCAAAAUCAGUGUCCUCCUCUACAAAAUUCGACCGAUGACGAUCGAAAACCAAUCGAUUGACGGGCCACCAUCGUCUCCUUGACGGCAGUCGCUGGC
rnacentral:lncRNA from 1 species